rnacentral:rRNA from 1 species
AGAACUUUGAAGAGAGAGUUCAAGAGUACGUGAAACCGUUCAGGGGUAAACCUGAGAAACCCAAAAGAUCGAAUGGGGAGAUUCAGCGUUCAACGACGUCUGGCUUACGUGCGAUGAGCGAUGUCGUGGUUAUUUCGGUAGCCACGAUACGCCGUUGCUGCGUCAUGACCGGCUUCGUCGGCGUGCACUUCUCCCCUAGUAGGACGUCGCGACCCGUUGGACGUCGGCCAAAGGCUCGAAUGGUAGACUGUCGUGCUCCUGGCGUGGCAGACCUUCGAACGCCCGGCCGACUGUUCGGCGGUAAUUUAUUUUUAUAAACAUGGUACAGAGCCGCAUUCGAAUGCGUUCGGCUCGUUGGCAGGCUCGCCUCGCUCGGUUUUACGGACCUGGUGCCGUUACUGGGUGCUUGGUGUGGCCUUUCUCGCCGACGAUGAUCUCGAACUGGCUCAGCGCGUGCGGGGGUUCGCUCUCGCGCGCGCGCUCACCUGUCGGCGACGCUUUUGCUUUGGGUACUUUCAGGACCCGUCUUG